UACGUAGGGUGCAGGCGUUAAUCGGAAUUACUGGGCGUAAAGCGUGCGCAGGCGGUUUCUUAAGUCAGAUGUGAAAGCCCCGGGCUUAACCUGGGAACUGCGUUUGAAACUGGGAGACUUGAGUGUGGCAGAGGGGGGUGGAAUUCCACGUGUAGCAGUGAAAUGCGUAGAUAUGUGGAGGAACACCAAUGGCGAAGGCAAUCCCCUGGGCCUGCACUGACGCUCAUGCACGAAAGCGUGGGGAGCAAACAGG
rnacentral:rRNA from 1 species